GACGAACGCUGGCGGCGUGCUUAACACAUGCAAGUCGAACGGAAAGGCCCUGCUUUUGUGGGGUGCUCGAGUGGCGAACGGGUGAGUAACACGUGAGUAACCUGCCCUUGACUUUGGGAUAACUUCAGGAAACUGGGGCUAAUACCGGAUAGGAGCUCCUGCUGCAUGGUGGGGGUUGGAAAGUUUCGGCGGUUGGGGAUGGACUCGCGGCUUAUCAGCUUGUUGGUGGGGUAGUGGCUUACCAAGGUUUUGACGGGUAGCCGGCCUGUGAGGGUGACCGGCCACAUUGGGACUGAGAUACGGCCCAGACUCCUACGGGAGGCAGCAGUGGGGAAUAUUGCACAAUGGGCGGAAGCCUGAUGCAGCAACGCCGCGUGCGGGAUGACGGCCUUCGGGUUGUAAACCGCUUUCGCCUGUGACGAAGCGUGAGUGACGGUAAUGGGUAAAGAAGCACCGGCUAACUACGUG
rnacentral:rRNA from 1 species